AGUAAUAUAGUUUAAUAAAAUAUUAAAUUGCAAAUUUAAAGAUAGAAGUAUUCUUAUUAUUU
rnacentral:tRNA from 1 species